UCUUUCUCCUCUAGCCUCUUUACCUAAAUCAUGGAUUCUCCGAUCCCCUAAUUUAAUCUUCAAAUCUAGUACAAUAAUAAAUUGGAUGUUAUUGUUUGGUUAGCUAAUACAAAUAGGUCUCAUCUAUUACUCACCAAAAACUCCUUUUUGGUCAUCACCUCUACCUGCAAACUCAACCUUCUCAUGAUUCUUCCUCUCAUGCUCUCAUCUAAAUCAGCAGUGGAGGUCGACAUGUCAGAUUAAACCAGCGGUGCAUUAAUCUUAUUUUGUCAACAUUUAGAUUUCCUUCGUAUUUACCCACUUCACCACCCAUAUCCAAAUGAUGGAAACAGAGAGCUAAGCGGCGCGCAAUGGUGAAGGAUCUCUUAUGGGUUUGGAGAAAAUGAUGGAAUUGUGAACUUUUAGGUUAGGGACUUGUCACAUGGAUGAGAUUUGAUGAUCAAGCUUGAAGUUAUUAUUGGCUUGUUCUUUUAUCACGUGAACUUGAUUUAUUGUUAAAUUAUGGGGCAAUUUAACAAAUAUCAUAUAUGAGGUUCCAAUUUUAACAAAAUGUCAGAAAAGAAUACAAAUUAAGAUAAUAACAAUUUUGGUCAAAAAAA